AUUGAACGCUGGCGGCAUGCUUUACACAUGCAAGUCGAACGGCAGCGCGGGCUUCGGCCUGGCGGCGAGUGGCGAACGGGUGAGUAAUACAUCGGAACGUGCCCAGUAGUGGGGGAUAGCUCGGCGAAAGCCGGAUUAAUACCGCAUACGACCUGAGGGUGAAAGCGGGGGAUCUUCGGACCUCGCGCUAUUGGAGCGGCCGAUGGCAGAUUAGCUAGUUGGUGGGGCAAAGGCCUACCAAGGCGACGAUCUGUAGCUGGUCUGAGAGGACGACCAGCCACACUGGGACUGAGACACGGACCAGACUCCUACGGGAGGCAGCAGUGGGGAAUUUUGGACAAUGGGCGAAAGCCUGAUCCAGCAAUGCCGCGUGUGUGAUGAAGGCCUUCGGGUUGUAAAGCACUUUUGGCGGGAACGAAAAGGACUGUGCCAAUACCACGGUUCGAUGACGGUACCCGCAGAAUAAGCACCGGCUAACUACGUG
rnacentral:rRNA from 1 species